GCGGGCGUCCGAACCCAAGAGCAGAGCUCAGCGACUCCGAUCGUGACACCGGCCCCCGCACGAUUCCCCAGGGCCCCGCCUAGGGAGCAGUCCCUGCUUGCAGCCUCGGGUCCUCUCCCAGAAUCCCAGAGACUCCAAGCUGCGAGCAGACGCGGGCCGCUGGGAAGCGAGGUCCUCAGACCAGAGAGGACACGCGCGACGCUAGGAAAGAUCUGCGAGGUGCAGAUCCACCGCGGGGGCCUCGGGGGCGCAGACCUGCAGAGCUGGAGGCCGGCGGGAAGGUUGGCUGCUGGAGGACAGGUGCAGAGUAAAUGAAGAGCUCAAACUGGAAUAACUCCUUCCAGACACAAAGGGAAACAAGCUUGUCUGUAGACAACGGGUCUUCCGAAAACCACAGCUGCGCCUCAGAACAGGGCAGUGGCCGAGGCAAUGGUGGGAGUGCCGAAGACACCGCAUGGCUUCUGAGAACACGGCUGGGUCAGGGAGCAGAGUGGCGGGCAUGGUGUACAGUCUAUGGCUCCUGGUUCUGGGGCCCUCAGUUCUAGCUCUGGAAGAGGUGCUGCUGGAUACCACAGGAGAGACCUCUGAGAUUG
rnacentral:lncRNA from 1 species